CCCCAGGGAGCAGGGAGGUGUCUUCUUGCCGAAGGGAAAUGAGACCCGAUAUUAGAACCAGGGAAGCCCUUAGCGGUCCUGGCCCUCCAGCCAGCUCAGGUGUCUUAGAUCGGAUAAACUUAACAUUAAAAAAGAUAGAUUGUCUUACAACUCGAUUCGUUUUGGGAUGGCAGGUUACAUUUUAACUUGCACGGUAUAUAACAGACGAUUAAACUUUGGGUUACCGGAGGCCGCUAACUCUCAUCCUUGAUCUAGUGGCCACGGCUGAGAGGAGAGGCUUUAAGGGAAUGGGUCAAUUCUUAAUUCUUUAGCAAGUGCCGUUGUUCUGUUCUAGGUCCUUGACAAAGGCCCAUCGUUGAGUGGGGCACUAGUGCAGGCUUCAUGCCGAUAUUUUAUCAGCAACAUUGUCAAACUAUGUGAAGAUUCAUUUUAAGAAGAUUUAUUUAUCUGUGAUGGAGAAGUAUGAAAAAAUUGGGAAAAUUGGCGAAGGAUCCUAUGGAGUUGUUUUCAAAUGCAGAAAUAGAGACACGGGUCAGAUUGUGGCCAUCAAGAGGUUUUUGGAAUCCGAAGAUGACCCUGUGAUAAAGAAAAUCGCCCUUCGAGAAAUCCGCAUGCUUAAGCAACUCAAGCAUCCCAACCUUGUCAACCUCAUUGAAGUCUUCAGGAGAAAGAAGAAGCUUCACCUGGUGUUUGAGUACUGUGACCACACUGUGCUCCACGAGCUGGACAGACAUCAAAGAGGGGUACCAGAACAUCUCGUGAAGAGCAUAACUUGGCAGACAUUGCAAGCUGUAAAUUUUUGCCAUAAACACAAUUGCAUACACAGAGACGUGAAGCCAGAAAACAUCCUCAUCACAAAACAUUCAGUGAUUAAGCUUUGUGACUUUGGAUUUGCUCGGCUUUUGACUGGACCAAGUGACUACUACACCGACUAUGUGGCUACCAGGUGGUACCGCUCCCCGGAGCUGUUGGUGGGGGACACCCAGUAUGGCCCCCCAGUAGAUGUUUGGGCAAUUGGCUGUGUCUUUGCUGAGCUGCUAUCGGGGAUGCCUCUGUGGCCUGGAAAAUCAGAUGUGGAUCAGCUCUAUCUGAUUAGGAAAACCUUGGGAGACCUCAUUCCUAGGCACCAGCAGGUGUUUAGCAUGAAUCAGUACUUCAGUGGGGUAGAAAUUCCAGACCCCGAAGAUAUGGAACCACUUGAAUUAAAAUUUCCAAACAUCUCUUAUCCUGCCCUGGGGCUCUUAAAGGGGUGUCUACACAUGAAUCCUGUUGAGAGACUGACAUGUGAGCAGCUGUUGCAGCAUCCAUAUUUUGACAGCAUCAGAGAAUCAGGAGAUUUGGCCAAAGAGCAUGAGAAACCAACAAGGAAGACCCUGAGACAGAGUCGAAAGCACCUGCCAGGGUUGCAAUACCUACCUCAGCUGACUAGCAGCAGCAUCCUUCCAGCUUUGGAUAAUAAGAAGUACUACUGUAACACCAAGAAACUUAACUACCGUUUUCCGAAUAUUUGAAGAGCUUGGAGGUUGAUGAUAAAGAAGAAUUGAUCAAAAAUUUGAAGAAAAUAAAACAUACAUUUGAUUGAAAAAACUCACAAUGUUGAAAAAAUAUCAGCAGAAAACACAAUGGCUUGAAGCUUGGCAGCUGACCAAGGGGUAGAACAAGAUUUACAGGCUUCACAGUACCUGGGUCUGCCAGCCUGAAAGUAAUUAGUACUUCUUUCUUCCCAGCUCAGCCCCAGACUUGGAGACAGAUCUACAGGGAGGACUAUAUACAUUGAUCUGGGUUUUGGAAGAAACUGUUUCUGAGCUUUCAUGUGAGUCAUAAAAGACAUUAGGUUAUAAGCUGAUGUUUUUCCUGAAAUACCUUUUUAUACUAUGUGCUUGUGUAUAUAUAUAGUGUGUGGGUACAUAUAGUACACAUGCAUAUAUAUGUGUAUAUAUACCAACCAACAACUAAAAGAAUAACAGCUAGUAAGAAAAUAGUCCAAAAUGGUUAUUAUUGAGGAUUCCUAAGCUUUGUACAGUCAUACUUAAAAUGAUGACAUAUAAUUGCUUUGAUUUGGCCUAUUGCUCCUAUUCAAAAGCUUUUGGAUCCUGGACCCAAGGGCAGUAUGAAACUGAUGUCUGUCUCUUAUAGCUCAACCACAUUUUUGGUGAUAUGCUGCUAUUUCCUAGCAGUUCUCAGCCAUAAUUUUUUUUUUCAUUUUUCAGCUGCACCUGUUGCAAUAUGGAAGUUUUUGGGCCAGGGAUCAAAUCUGAGCCACAGCUGCAGCAACGCUGGAUCCUUAACCUACUGUGCCAUAGCGGGAAUUCCUCAGUCCUGAUUUUUGAAGAUGUAUUUUACUGUAUCUUGAAAACAUUUCUUCUGCUAUGGUUUAAUUUUGUUCAUGAGAGCAAAAUUAAAACAUAGUUUACUGCUACAGUAAUUUUGUUCAUGAGAGCAUUUUACCUUAUUCACUUACUGCUAAGUAAUCUGCCAAAUUCUGGCAUCUGUUCUGUAAUUUUGGCUCCCCUAGCCAGUUUAUUUAUUUAUUUAUAUAUUUCUUUUUAGGGCCGCACUUGUGCUAUAUGGAAGUUCCCAGGCUAGGGGUUGAAUAGGAGCUGUACCUGC